UCCUGUGCUUCAACGAGCUCCAACCUCCAACCUCCAAACUCUGACUUCUGAGCUUCGAGCUCCGACUUCCGGCACUCCUCACUGCAAAGAUCUGGAUCUCCAUUGCUAUUAAAGUUUUCAAAAUCCUAGCCGUCUCUUCGUCUACUGCUGUUUAGAUCUCCAUUUAAAAAAAGGGGAGAGACUUAGCCUCAAUUUUUUUUAUCUUCUUGGUUGUGUGUGGUGUUGGCGGCGAGGACAGAGAAAGGCCUCAUCGUCAAGGGUUUGGUCUCACUUUUAUUGUCAAGGGUAUUUUGUGGAAGCUUAAUUUUGGGGUGCAUUUAGUUUUUGGCGUUAGACAGAUCAAGAGUAGGGUUGAGUGGUGGAAAGCUUAGCAGGAACAUUGAGUAAGUUGCUGUCUAGUUGUUAGCAAGUUAAUAAAUGCCCAUUCCUAUGGACUUAAAUCUUCUUGUUGUUUUUGUUUAAC